CCAACCUUCCAUCACCAGGUUACGCCUGAGGGGGACCAGACACACAGUUACACCCCCUUCCAUCACCAGGUUACGCCUGAGGGGGACCAGACACACAGUUACACCCCCUUCCAUCACCAGGUUACGCCUGAGGGGGACCAGACACACAGUUACACCCCCUUCCAUCACCAGGUUACGCCUGAGGGGGACCAGACACACAGUUACACCCCCUUCCAUCACCAGGUUACGCCUGAGGGGGACCAGACACACAGUUACACCCCCUUCCAUCACCAGGUUACGCCUGAGGGGGACCAGACACACAGUUACACCCCCUUCCAUCACCAGGUUACGCCUGAGGGGGACCAGACACACAGUUACACCCCCUUCCAUCACCAGGUUACGCCUGAGGGGGACCAGACACACAGUUACACCCCCUUCCAUCACCAGGUUACGCCUGAGGGGGACCAGACACACAGUUACACCCCCUUCCAUCACCAGGUUACGCCUGAGGGGGACCAGACACACAGUUACACCCCCUUCCAU